AUGAUGUUCCCAGUUAGGAUGUUGGUGCUGUUGUUCUGGAUUCCAGCUUCCAGAGGUGAUGUUGUGAUGACACAAACUCCAGUUUCCUUGCCUGUCAGCCUUGGAGAUCAAUCCUCUAUCUCUUGCAGGUCUAGUGAGAACCUUGUGGAUAGUGAUGGAUAUACCUAUUUAGAAUGGUACCUGCAGAAGCCAGGCCAUUCUCCACAACUCCUCAUCUAUGAGAUUUCCAAACGAUUUUCUGGUGUUCCAGACAGGUUCAGUGGCAGUGGGUCAGGCACAGAUUUCACACUCAAGAUCAGCAGAAUGGAACCUGAGGAUUUGGGAGUUUAUUACUGCUUCCAAGUUAUUCAGAGUCAAUCAUGGACUGUUCUAGAAAUCAAUCCAAUAUUGGAAAUAACAGCCCUCAUUUGGAAAUUUGGUUCUGGACAAUUUCAGAGACAUAUAUGGAAGUUAGCUGCAGUUCUCUAUGAUGUAGUUUGCAAGAGAAAAAGUUGA